UUCUGUAUUUCCAAUCCCAGC
rnacentral:piRNA from 1 species